ensembl:misc_RNA Metazoa_SRP Metazoan signal recognition particle RNA
GCUGGGCAUGGUGGUGCACACCUGUAGUCCCAGCUACUCGGGAGGCUGAGGCAGGAGGAUCACUUGAGCCUGGGAGUUCAAGGUUGCAGUGAGCCAUGAUCACGCCAUGCCACUGCACUCUAGCCUGGGCAACAGAGUGAGACCUUGUCUCUU